CAACCCUCAAGCUCUGCUUGGUGUUGGGCCUCGCCGAUUCCGGCGGGCCUCAAAAUCAGUGGCGGUGCCAUCUGGCUUCAAGCGUAGUAAUUCUUCUCGCUUCAGGAGACCCAGGUGUGUGCUUGCCAGCAACCCCCCACUUCUAU
rnacentral:misc_RNA from 1 species